GUUUUACAGUUGAUCUCUGAACUUCAGGUAAGUUAAUGUGUUGACAAGCGCCCUCUGUGAUUGCU
rfam:Lupinus angustifolius cultivar Tanjil chromosome LG06, whole genome shotgun sequence.